rnacentral:rRNA from 1 species
GACGAACGCUGGCGGCGUGCCUAACACAUGCAAGUCGUGCGAGAAAGUUCCUUCGGGAGCGAGUAAAGCGGCGCACGGGUGAGUAACACGUAGGUAACCUGCCCCCCAGUCUGGAACAACUAGAGGAAACUCUAGCUAAUGCCGGAUGAGACCACGAUCCCUUCGGGGGUUGCGGCCAAAGAUGGCCUCUACUUGUAAGCUAUCGCUGAGGGAUGGGCCUGCGGGCCAUUAGCUUGUGGUGAGGUAACGGCUCACCAAGGCUGUGAUGGCUAGCUGGUCUGAGAGGAUGACCAGCCACACUGGGACUGAGACACGGCCCAGGACUCCUAC